AAAGCGUGCGUAGGCGGCUUUUUAAGUCGGAUGUGAAAUCCCCGAGCUUAACUUGGGAAUUGCAUUCGAUACUGGGAAGCUAGAGUAUGGGAGAGGAUGGUAGAAUUCCAGGUGUAGCGGUGAAAUGCGUAGAGAUCUGGAGGAAUACCGAUGGCGAAGGCAGCCAUCUGGCCUAAUACUGACGCUGAGGUACGAAAGCAUGGGGAGCAAACAGGAUUAGAUACCCCGGU
rnacentral:rRNA from 1 species